rnacentral:lncRNA from 1 species
GGGGUCAGGCCAUGGGAGCAGUAGAUGCAGCAGAGACCCUGUGAGGCCUGGUGGCAAGAAGCAAGCAUUGACAGGCUACACGACACUACCAUCCUGCAAGCCGGAGGCAGACAGCCCCCAGCCCAGUGGACUACUCUCAUGCCGUAUGGGAUGCUGGUCUUGCACCCCUUCCAGGAUGCUCAAACAUUGCCUCUCUUGGUGGAGUAUGUUUAAGAGGAAAGAGCACUGGGAUUACAGAUUUGCAGUGCUGUGAGUCCUAGGGAUUCCAACUCAGGCCCGCAGGCUUGCAAUGACAAGUCCCCGUUCUUGUUCAAUCCUUGGAAGGCUCUGGGACCAGAAGCAAAUAACACAGGAAUACAGCAUGGAUGACUACAAGGAUUCCAGGGUUUUCUUCCAUGAUGACUGGCUAUGGAUCAAGGACAUAGGCACUUGACUCAGUCUGCUGUAGGGAGUCUAUGGGGCACCUAAAUGAAGAGUGGCCAUACUGUGGGAGUGCAGGUCUACAGCCUUGGAAAAAAGAUGUAAGAGAGCAAGGGAUGAAAUUAGUAAUCUCUCAAAUAUGCCCAACCUUAAAAAUUAACCACAGCAAAAA